rnacentral:tRNA from 1 species
GCCCUGAUGCUCAGUUGGAUAGAGCGUGGUUUACUGAACAAAAGUCACUAGUUCGAAUCCCAUUCGGGGUACUA